rnacentral:snRNA from 1 species
AUGCUCAUUUCGGCAGCACAUAUACUAAAAUUGGAACGAUACAGAGAGGAUUUAGCGUGGCCCUUGUGCAAGGAUGACAUGUAAAUUUGUGAAGUGUUGCAUAUUUUU